ACAAACAGAGUAGUUAAUCUUGAAAGAGGUGUAAAUUACUUCUAUGCUGCAGAGGGCCUAAAUCCAAAUGAUGAAAAUUCUUCUCUCCUUCAUUAUAUUCAGGUACAUCUUAGGUUAAAGGAACGUGCACGGAAUGAGAGGCUAGAAAUAGGAGGCUAUUCCUCAUAUGUACAUAAGCCCGUAGAGACUAGGAACGUGCAUGGAAUGAGAAGCUAGAAAUAGGAGGCUAUUCCUCAUAUGUACAUAAGCCCGUAGAGACUUUACCAAUUGAUCUGCAAGAUUCUUUGUACAUUUGGUUAUUGUUUUCUAAAUGGUAAAGAAGCAUGCUCAAUGCAUUAUCAAUGAAUUGUGUUAUCAGCCUUUUCCUGGUUCUUUGCUUCUUAAACAAUUUUGCUCGAGUUUCCAGG
rnacentral:lncRNA from 1 species